UACGUAGGGUGCAAGCGUUGUCCGGAAUUAUUGGGCGUAAAGAGCUCGUAGGCGGUCUGUUACGUCGGCUGUGAAAACCUGGGGCUCAACCCCGGGCCUGCAGCCGAUACGGGCAGACUAGAAUUCGGUAGGGGAGAGUGGAAUUCCUGGUGUAGCGGUGGAAUGCGCAGAUAUCAGGAGGAACACCGGUGGCGAAGGCGGGUCUCUGGGCAGUAACUGACGCUGAGGAGCGAAAGCGUGGGGAGCGAACAGG
rnacentral:rRNA from 1 species